rnacentral:miRNA from 1 species
UGAGGCAGGAGAAUUGCUUGAACCCAGGAGGUGGAGGUUGCAGUGAGCCGAGAUCACGCCACUGUACUCUAGCCUGGGCGACAGAGCAAGACUCCA